AAGGUCGAAGGGAGAAAUUCAUUCGCGUUUCGACGUUGGCGUCGAACGGGGUCGUGCGACGGGACGCGUUCUUCGGAACGACAGUCUCGCGCCCUUCGUUCGUUUCGAACCGACGACGAACGCGUGCACUUUUCUCCUGGUAGGACGUCGCGAUCCGUCGGGUGUCGGUCUACGACGAUUUGCGGUGGAGACCGUCCGUCGUCUUCGUACGUUACGGACGGACCCGCUCGUUCCGGCCGACUCGCUCGACGGUAUAACCAACGGUCGGAGGCCGCUCGUUUAUUCAAAUAAGGAGCGUUCGACUCGUCGCAAGCGCGCCACGUGCGUCGGCACGCGGACCCAGUGCCGCGUCCGACCUCUGGUGGCGACGAAGUUCUCGAACAGACCUCUUUUUCUCCCUCAAAAGAGAGAAAGAAAGACCGAUCGGCGACGCUAUAGCUUUGGGUACUUUCAGGACCCGUCUUGAAACACGGACCAAGGAGUCUAGCAUGUACGCGAGUCAUUGGGAAUCACUAAACCUAAAGGCGUAAUGAAAGUGAAGAUCUUCCUAGCGAAGAUCGAGGGAAGACGAACGAGGACAAAAUCACCACCCUAAAAAGUGGGAUCGUUCUGCAUUCCCGGGGCGUCUCGUUCACAUCGCGUGAAGAGGCGCACCAUGAGCGUACACGCUGGGACCCGAAAGAUGGUGAACUAUGCCUGGUCAGGACGAAGUCAGGGGAAACCCUGAUGGAGGUCCGUAGCGAU
rnacentral:rRNA from 1 species